UGAACAUGCAAUGCGGGAAAAAAUGAUUGGCAUACAUGGUAUUUAUUUGUGAUUGAAAAUAAGGGGAAAAGGAACCGAUAACAAGUUGACAAAAAUGUUUGUGAAUUUUCAAUCAGUUUGGCAACUGCGCCACACACGCGUCAAUCUGUUGAAAUUUCAACCGAUCGUUUUGAUUUGUUUUCCGUUUGUGGCCUCUUUAUGAACGAAAGAAACGCGAAAUGAUAAAAAAAAUUCUUGGAAAAUUUAAAAUGAAUGGUGCUUCAUUGGAAAAAUUCAAAGAAGUACACCACACAACAGCUCAUUCCAACUCUGAUUUUGAAAUCCUGUUGGAAUUGGUGAUCGAUAAUUUUGUCACUAUAAUGGUCAAUGGAAAUUUGCGUGUAUCAGACCCUGCAUAUUAUUUACCAUAUCAACUUUUUAUGGAACAUAUGGACCAAAUGAACACAAAAAAAUAAUUUAGUUUUGUUUUGA